rnacentral:rRNA from 1 species
AGAGUUUGAUCAUGGCUCAGAACUAACGCUGGCGGCGUGCCUAACACAUGCAAGUCGUACGAGAAAGUUGGCUUCGGCCGAUGAGUAAAGUGGCGCACGGGUGAGUAACGCGUGGAUAAUCUACCUUUUAGUUUGGAAUAACGUACCGAAAGGUGCGCUAAUACCGGAUAAUGCUGCACAACUACUGUUGUGUCGUCAAAGAAGGCUUCUGUUUACAUGCUUUUGCUGAAAGGUGAGUCCGCGUACCAUUAGCUAGUUGGUAGGGUAAUGGCCUACCAAGGCUACGAUGGUUAGCUGGUCUGAGAGGAUGAUCAGCCACACUGGAACUGAGACACGGUCCAGACUCCUACGGGAGGCAGCAGUGAGGAAUAUUGCGCAAUGGGGGCAACCCUGACGCAGCAACGCCGCGUGAGUGAGGAAGGUUUUCGGACCGUAAAGCUCUGUCGAGCGGGAAGAAAUGCAUGGUGGCUAAUAUCCAUCAUGCUUGACGGUACCGCUAAAGGAAGCACCGGCUAACUCCGUGCCAGCAGCCGCGGUAAUACGGGGGGUGCAAGCGUUGUUCGGAAUUAUUGGGCGUAAAGAGCGUGUAGGCGGCUGAAUAAGUCAGAUGUGAAAUCCCUGGGCUUAACCCAGGACGUGCAUUUGAAACUAUUCAGCUUGAGUAGGGGAGAGGAAAGUGGAAUUCCUGGUGUAGAGGUGAAAUUCGUAGAUAUCAGGAGGAACACCGGUGGCGAAGGCGACUUUCUGGCCCUAUACUGACGCUGA